AUCUUGGUAGCUCAAUCGGUAGAGCAUGAGACUCUUAAUCUCAUGGGUCAUGGGUUCAAAUCCCACGUUGGGCA